CCUGGSUUACCUCCUCAGUUAUGCGUCAGGGCUUGUAUCGCCUAGAGCGUAUUGUUGGCUUUUUGUAUUGGAUACCUAAUCGAAGGUAUUAUUUUGAUCGAUCGGAGUCCCUUUUCGUCUUGUGUUGCAUUUUGUGUCGCAUGAUGAACUUUGAAGCGGUCUCUAUGAUCCAUCACGUUGAUGCACUUGCAUUGAUGUUGUGGCCCAUUGAGCUUUGUUUGGUUUCUUGGAUAUGGAACAUGAAGUGGGCAUGGGGCUGUCAUGAUCCUCUUUUUGCCCUCGUAUGGUGUUCUCGAACGACGGGUCAUGCGCGCCUAGGC
rnacentral:misc_RNA from 1 species